rnacentral:rRNA from 1 species
UCAUGGCUCAGGAUGAACGCUAGCGGCAGGCCUAAUACAUGCAAGUCGAACGGGCUUAUGUUUUUCGGAAUAUGAGUUAGUGGCGCACGGGUGAGUAACACGUACAUAACCUACCUUCAAGAGGGGGAUAGCCUUGGGAAACUGAGAGUAAUACCCCAUAGUAUCAAGUUGCGGCAUCGUGAGUUGAUUAAAGCUGAGGUGCUUGAAGAUGGAUGUGCGUCUGAUUAGCUAGUUGGUGAGGUAACGGCUCACCAAGGCGACGAUCAGUAGGGGGCGUGAGAGCGUGGCCCCCCANACGGGUACUGAGACACGGACCCGACUCCUACGGGAGGCAGCAGUAAGGAUAUUGGUCAAUGGAGGGAACUCUGAACCAGCCAUGCCGCGUGAAGGAUGACGGCCCUCUGGGUUGUAAACUUCUUUUGGAUGGGGCGAAAAAACGGGNUUUAUCCUGGACUGACGGUACCAUCAGAAUAAGCACCGGCUAACUCCGUG